GUUAAGCGACUAAGCGUACACGGUGGAUGCCCUGGCAGUCAGAGGCGAUGAAGGACGUGCUAAUCUGCGAUAAGCGUCGGUAAGGUGAUAUGAACCGUUAUAACCGGCGAUUUCCGAAUGGGGAAACCCAGUGUGUUUCGACACACUAUCAUUAACUGAAUCCAUAGGUUAAUGAGGCGAACCGGGGGAACUGAAACAUCUAAGUACCCCGAGGAAAAGAAAUCAACCGAGAUUCCCCCAGUAGCGGCGAGCGAACGGGGAGGAGCCCAGAGCCUGAAUCAGUGUGUGUGUUAGUGGAAGCGUCUGGAAAGGCGCGCGAUACAGGGUGACAGCCCCGUACACAAAAAUGCACAUGCUGUGAGCUCGAUGAGUAGGGCGGGACACGUGGUAUCCUGUCUGAAUAUGGGGGGACCAUCCUCCAAGGCUAAAUACUCCUGACUGACCGAUAGUGAACCAGUACCGUGAGGGAAAGGCGAAAAGAACCCCGGCGAGGGGAGUGAAAAAGAACCUGAAACCGUGUACGUACAAGCAGUGGGAGCACGCUUAGGCGUGUGACUGCGUACCUUUUGUAUAAUGGGUCAGCGACUUAUAUUCUGUAGCAAGGUUAACCGAAUAGGGGAGCCGAAGGGAAACCGAGUCUUAACUGGGCGUUAAGUUGCAGGGUAUAGACCCGAAACCCGGUGAUCUAGCCAUGGGCAGGUUGAAGGUUGGGUAACACUAACUGGAGGACCGAACCGACUAAUGUUGAAAAAUUAGCGGAUGACUUGUGGCUGGGGGUGAAAGGCCAAUCAAACCGGGAGAUAGCUGGUUCUCCCCGAAAGCUAUUUAGGUAGCGCCUCGUGAAUUCAUCUCCGGGGGUAGAGCACUGUUUCGGCAAGGGGGUCAUCCCGACUUACCAACCCGAUGCAAACUGCGAAUACCGGAGAAUGUUAUCACGGGAGACACACGGCGGGUGCUAACGUCCGUCGUGAAGAGGGAAACAACCCAGACCGCCAGCUAAGGUCCCAAAGUCAUGGUUAAGUGGGAAACGAUGUGGGAAGGCCCAGACAGCCAGGAUGUUGGCUUAGAAGCAGCCAUCAUUUAAAGAAAGCGUAAUAGCUCACUGGUCGAGUCGGCCUGCGCGGAAGAUGUAACGGGGCUAAACCAUGCACCGAAGCUGCGGCAGCGACACUAUGUGUUGUUGGGUAGGGGAGCGUUCUGUAAGCCUGUGAAGGUGUGCUGUGAGGCAUGCUGGAGGUAUCAGAAGUGCGAAUGCUGACAUAAGUAACGAUAAAGCGGGUGAAAAGCCCGCUCGCCGGAAGACCAAGGGUUCCUGUCCAACGUUAAUCGGGGCAGGGUGAGUCGACCCCUAAGGCGAGGCCGAAAGGCGUAGUCGAUGGGAAACAGGUUAAUAUUCCUGUACUUGGUGUUACUGCGAAGGGGGGACGGAGAAGGCUAUGUUGGCCGGGCGACGGUUGUCCCGGUUUAAGCGUGUAGGCUGGUUUUCCAGGCAAAUCCGGAAAAUCAAGGCUGAGGCG
rnacentral:rRNA from 1 species